CGGGUACAACGAGUCGCAAGCUCGCGAGAGUAAGCUAAUCUCUUAAAGCCGUUCUCAGUUCGGACUGUAGGCUGCAACUCGCCUACACGAAGUCGGAAUCGCUAGUAAUCGCGGAUCAGCAUGCCGCGGUGAAUACGUUCCCGGGCCUUGUACACACCGCCCGUCACACCAUGGGAGUUUGUAACGCCCAAAGUCGGUGGCCUAACCUUUAUGGAGGGAGCCGCCUAAGGCGGGACAGGUGACUGGGGUGAAGUCGUAACAAGGUAUC
rnacentral:rRNA from 1 species